rnacentral:rRNA from 1 species
AGUGAACGCUGGCGGUAGGCCUAACACAUGCAAGUCGAACGGCAGCACAGUAAGAGCUUGCUCUUACGGGUGGCGAGUGGCGGACGGGUGAGGAAUACAUCGGAAUCUACUUUUUCGUGGGGGAUAACGUAGGGAAACUUACGCUAAUACCGCAUACGACCUACGGGUGAAAGCAGGGGAUCUUCGGACCUUGCGCGAUUGAAUGAGCCGAUGUCGGAUUAGCUAGUUGGCGGGGUAAAGGCCCACCAAGGCGACGAUCCAUAGCUGGUCUGAGAGGAUGAUCAGCCACACUGGAACUGAGACACGGUCCAGACUCCUACGGGAGGCAGCAGUGGGGAAUAUAGGACAAUGGGCGCAAGCCUGAUCCAGCCAUACCGCGUGGGUGAAGAAGGCCUUCGGGUUGUAAAGCCCUUUUGUUGGGAAAGAAAAGCAGCAGGUUAAUACCCCGCUGUUCUGACGGUACCCAAAGAAUAAGCACCGGCUAACUUCGU